GAUGAACACUGGCGGCGUGCCUAAUACAUGCAAGUCGAGCGAACAGACGAGGAGCUUGCUCCUCUGACGUUAGCGGCGGACGGGUGAGUAACACGUGGAUAACCUACCUAUAAGACUGGGAUAACUUCGGGAAACCGGAGCUAAUACCGGAUAAUAUAUUGAACCGCAUGGUUCAAUAGUGAAAGACGGUUUUGCUGUCACUUAUAGAUGGAUCCGCGCCGCAUUAGCUAGUUGGUAAGGUAACGGCUUACCAAGGCGACGAUGCGUAGCCGACCUGAGAGGGUGAUCGGCCACACUGGAACUGAGACACGGUCCAGACUCCUACGGGAGGCAGCAGUAGGGAAUCUUCCGCAAUGGGCGAAAGCCUGACGGAGCAACGCCGCGUGAGUGAUGAAGGUCUUCGGAUCGUAAAACUCUGUUAUUAGGGAAGAACAAAUGUGUAAGUAACUAUGCACGUCUUGACGGUACCUAAUCAGAAAGCCACGGCUAACUACGUG
rnacentral:rRNA from 1 species